CACGUGACCCACCACCCCAUCUGUGACGGUGAGGUCACCCUGAAGUGCUGGGCCCUGGGCUUCUACCCUGUGGACAUCACCCUGACCUGGCAGCAUCAUGAGGACCUGACCCGGGACACAGAGCUUGUGGAGACCAGGCCUGCAGGGGACAGGACCUUCCAGAAGUGGGAGGCAGUGGUGGUACCUUCUGGAGAGGAGCAGAGACACCCUUGCCAUGUGUAGCUUGAGGGGCUGCGUGAGCCCAUCACCCUGAGAUGGGAGCCACCUCUUCUGGCCACCAUCCCCAUUGAGGGAAUUGUUGCUGGACUUUUUUUGGUCAUUGUUGUUGCUAUAGUUGUAGCUGUGAUCUGGAGGAAGUGCUCAGGCAGUGACAGUGCCCAGGACUCUGGUGUGUCUCUCAUGGCAGCAUGAGACAGUUGCCUUAUGGGGAUGCAAGAUUUAUUCCUGUCCCACCCAUCAUUGUGACUUCAAGAACCUCUGACUUCUCUUUCUGCAAAAGGCCUCUGAAUGUGUCUGCAUUCCUAUUAGCAUAAUGUGAGGAGAUGGGGAGACUGGUCUCCCCCGCAAACUCCUGCUGACACUGACCUGUGUUCUUUCCCUGAUUGACUUUCCUGCUUCAGCAGAGGUAGGCCUGGGCCAUCUCCAUCCCUGCCUUAGCUUCAUGUUGCACUGAGCUGCAACUUCUUACUUUCUUAAUGAAAUAAGAAUCUGGAUAUAAAUUUGCUUUUUCAAAUUCUUGCGAUGAGGGAUUGGUGGGUUAAUUAGAGGAAAAGAUUCUUAAUAUUUGGGAGAGAAAAUAAAUAGAAGACCUGAGAACCUUCCAGAAUCUGUGUGUUUGCUGUGCUGCACCUGUGGCAGGUGGGAACAGGAGAAGGCUGUGAGGAACUGAGCAUGGUCAGGGCCUGUGCCUAGUCAGUGCUCAGUGCAUUGUGGGCUUUGACAUGUUCACUCCUUGGCUGGGUCAUCUCUCUGCUCCUUUGUCCUUGUCCCUUCAGUAGAACCUUGUCCCACCAGGACCUGUGAUCACAGGGACUCAAACAUCCCCUGGUCAUUGUUAUGUCUCUAGGACCAUGGGCAAUGAGGGCCUUAUGUGACGGGGUCAGCUUAGGCUCAGGCCUGGGUCCAGUCCUCCAGCCCCAUCUUUUGGGUGUUUGUUGUUUCUUUCUUUCUGUAGAGGAUUGGGCCUAUUCUUGUUCUUGUGUAUGAGUUCAUGUAUCAUUCUCCUCUGGGUGUCCCCUGUCUCUGACCUGUCGUUUGGCCUGUCAUUGUCCCCACAAAGCGAGGCAGCCCCUGCACACAGGCGUCUGUGGUAUCCAGAGAUGAAUUUUCAGACUCAUACAGCUCUGCCCUCCUCUAGGCCUUUAUUGUCAUUUCCACCUUUUCCCAAGCUUCUCAAAGGAGCCAGAUUCUGGAAUUAGUGGAGAGGAGGGUUCCCAUAAUUUCUCAUCCUAAAUAUGUUCCUGUUGGGAUUCUUCUGCUCUGCAGCCUGCCCUGUCUCCUGGCCCUUAGCUUUAGUCAUCCUAGUGCUGAAUCCAAUCGGAACUCACAAUUUAUAAAGCGGAGUUUACUUGAGAUUUAUAUUUGGUUGGCAACUAGGACCCAUAAGUCAGGGAUCAUUGUUUUCUGAAGAGAGAAAUGUAAUUGUGUGCCUAGGUGUGCA